UCUAUGUCUACAAAGACAGUUGAGGCAUUGCUCUGUACAUAAAGCUAUUUACAAAAACCCAUUGCUCUUGAUCUUCUAUGUGAUUAUGUACCUGAUGAUGAUGGUGAAGAUGCGGCAGUCAUAAUUGAGAAUUUCCUAAAAGAUUGAAGUUUAUUUCUUGGCUCCUUGGCUCGUUGCUAAGAAAUGGAAGGCUAGGAUUGCAAAUUGCAAGUGCAGGCU